rnacentral:rRNA from 1 species
ACGAACGCUGGCGGCAUGCCUAACACAUGCAAGUCGAACGAAGCCUUCGGGCUUAGUGGCGCACGGGUGCGUAACGCGUGGGAAUCUGCCCCUUGGUUCGGAAUAACAGUUAGAAAUGACUGCUAAUAUCGGAUGAUGACGUAAGUCCAAAGAUUUAUCGCCGAGGGAUGAGCCCGCGUAGGAUUAGCUAGUUGGUGAGGUAAAGGCUCACCAAGGCGACGAUCCUUAGCUGGUCUGAGAGGAUGAUCAGCCACACUGGGACUGAGACACGGCCCAGACUCCUACGGGAGGCAGCAGUGGGGAAUAUUGGACAAUGGGCGAAAGCCUGAUCCAGCAAUGCCGCGUGAGUGAUGAAGGCCUUAGGGUCGUAAAGCUCUUUUACCCGGGAUGAUAAUGACAGUACCGGGAGAAUAAGCUCCGGCUAACUCCGU